rnacentral:lncRNA from 1 species
UCUGGUAGUAAAAAAUAUUUUGAUCUCCAUCCAAAAUAUUAUUAAAAUUUCUUUCAAUGGAUUGAAAUAAUUCUAACUCAUCAAUCGAGAAUUAUUGACCAUCAAAAUAAUUUUUGUUGGUCCCACAAUCUACUAGUAACAUCUAACAAUAUGUAGUGGCAACCCAGCAGAAUAAAAAGAUAAACUUCUAGGUAUAGUUAUCAUAUAAUUUAGUUCUUCUAUCAUAAGUCCUGAUAAGACAGAGGUUAUAAAAAAUUUAUCAAACCCCUUCAUCUAUCAUAUGUAAGAUUUAAUCAGCUUGAGUUCAAAUUAUGAAAUCUCAUGAAAACUCUUUUGUAUAAUUUAUUAUUCCAUGACUACGAUCUUAUGAAUUCAACUUCAUAAAUCAUAUAGGACUACUCUUUAAUUACUAAGAUCGAUAGAUCUCUUUUAAGUGUGCAUCAUACUCCUACAGUGAAUCUAUUAUAGCCAACAUGUACUGCAAGAAUCCAAAUAGCUAGGAGAUCAAGUUUAUAUGCAGUCAAACUAUAGCAACCUUACUAUGAGUAGUCAAGGUACCAUAAAUCAAAAAAUCUCUCACAUAACUACAGUAUUGAGAAUGUCACUGAUAAGUGAGUAGAUAUCCAAGUGACUUCUCAUAAUGAAUGUACUCAAAACUCUUAUUUCCUAAUAAGUGUCUACACUCUCGC